UGUAUAGGACUGCUCAUCUGAUCAGUGGAAAUGUCAUGAAACCAAACUCAAGCCUUAGGAAGUGCCAGCUGUAGAAGAAUGUGAUAAAGUACUAAAACUAGUAAGACAAAAUGGUGAGGUCUGUAACACAUCUGUAAUGAAGCAAAUAUUCAGGUUGAUUGACAACAUCCACUCUGGGGUCUGGAAUGCUCUUACUGACACCAGUGGACUUUGGAUCAGGACCCAGUACCAUAUGUGUUUACUCUCUGACAAAAAGUCUCAGAACAGCAGAAACUUCCUAUGGCUGAAGAAGGGUGACUGCG